rnacentral:RNase_P_RNA from 1 species
UCAGCCGGCCGGAUGGCCGCCGCCGAUCCGCUCAUGUGGGGCGAAUGCGCUCUUAGCGAACGGCGGAGGAAAGUCCGGGCUCCAUGGAAACACGGUGCCGGAUAACGUCCGGCGGGGGCGACCCCAGGGAAAGUGCCACAGAAAGCAAACCGCCCGCGGCCGCGCGGGUAAGGGUGAAAGGGUGCGGUAAGAGCGCACCGCGCGACCUGGCAACAGGCGCGGCACGGCAAACCCCACCGGGAGCAAGACCGAAUAGGGGCGGCAUGAAGGUUCGCCUUCAGGUCCGUUUCCAGACCGCCGCCCGGGUUGGUUGCACGAGGCGCGCGGCAACGCGCGUCCCAGAUGAAUGGCCAUCACGCGGGCGAGCCCCGCGCACAGAACCCGGCUUACAGGCCGGCUGACAUU